AUGUUUGUGGGUGUCAUUGAUAGGCAAAUCAGUGAGCUGAAUAGCAGAUUUGAUGAGGUAAACACGGAGCUACUUUCUUGCAUGGCAGCAUUCUGUCCACUUCAUCUAUUUUCUGCUUAUGACCAAGAUAAGUUGGUUAGGCUUGCUACAAAGUUUUAUGCUUCUGAUUUUACAAGUGAUGAACUGGCAAGACUUCCAUGGCAACUAAACAUGUAUGUUAUUAAUGUGCGUAGAUAUGAAAGGUUUCAAAACCUGAAAAAUCUGUGUCAGCUUUUAGUUAUGCUUGUUGAGACAAACAAACAUGAACAAUAUCAUAUUGUUUACAAGCUUCUUAAACUGGUAUUGAUUCUGCCAGUAGCUACUGCUAGUGUUGAAAGGGUGUUCUCUUCAAUGAGCCAUGUGAAGAAUAAGCUAAGGAACAAAAUGGGUGAUGAAUAUUUGAACAAUUGUUUGGUUACAUUUGUUGAGAGAGAAAUUUUCAAUCAAGUGAAGGAUGAAGAUGUCAUCAAUCUCUUCCAAAAAGGCGACCACAAAGUUAUAUUGUAA
rnacentral:rRNA from 1 species